rnacentral:tRNA from 1 species
AUUUUAUUAGUAUAAUGUAGUAUGGUUGUUUUCCAAACAAUUGGUUUAAUGUAAUUAAAUAAGAUA